UACGUAGGGACCAAGCGUUGUUCGGAUUUACUGGGCGUAAAGGGCGCGUAGGCGGCGUGUUAAGUCAGCUGUGAAAUCUCCAAGCUUAACUUGGAACGGUCAGCUGAUACUGAUGUGCUAGAGUGCAGAAGGGGCAAUCGGAAUUCUUGGUGUAGCGGUGAAAUGCGUAGAUAUCAAGAGGAACACCUGAGGUGAAGACGGGUUGCUGGGCUGACACUGACGCUGAGGCGCGAAAGCUAGGGUAGCAAACAGG
rnacentral:rRNA from 1 species